UUCAUGCAUGACUGUAAGUUGCUUUGGAUAAAAGUUUCUGCUAAAUUGUUUAUA
rfam:Salmo salar isolate Sally breed double haploid chromosome ssa22, whole genome shotgun sequence.